rnacentral:rRNA from 1 species
CCUACGGGUGGCUGCAGUGGGGAAUAUUGGACAAUGGGCGCAAGCCUGAUCCAGCCAUGCCGCGUGGGUGAAGAAGGCCUUCGGGUUGUAAAGCCCUUUUGUUGGGAAAGAAAAGCAGUCGGUUAAUACCCGGCUGUCAUGACGGUACCCAAAGAAUAAGCACCGGCUAACUUCGUGCCAGCAGCCGCGGUAAUACGAAGGGUGCAAGCGUUACUCGGAAUUACUGGGCGUAAAGCGUGCGUAGGUGGUGAUUUAAGUCAGAUGUGAAAGCCCUG